rnacentral:rRNA from 1 species
CAGUAGCCGCGGUAAUACAGAGGGUGCGAGCGUUAAUCGGAUUUACUGGGCGUAAAGCGUGCGUAGGCGGCUACAUAAGUCGGAUGUGAAAUCCCUGAGCUUAACUUAGGAACUGCAUUUGUUACUGUAAAGCUAGAGUAUGGGAGAGGAUGAUAGAAUUCCACGUGUAGCGGUGAAAUGCGUAGAGAUCUGGAGGAAUACCGAUGGCGAAGGCAGUCAUCUGGGCUAAUACUGACGCUCAGGUACGAAAGCAUGGGGAGCAAACAGGAUUAGAUACCCCAGUAGUCCCUGUCUCUUAUAC